rnacentral:rRNA from 1 species
GAUGAACGCUGGCGGCGUGCCUAAUACAUGCAAGUCGAGCGAACAGGCGAGGAGCUUGCUCCUCUGACGUUAGCGGCGGACGGGUGAGUAACACGUGGAUAACCUACCUAUAAGACUGGGAUAACUUCGGGAAACCGGAGCUAAUACCGGAUAAUAUAUUGAACCGCAUGGUUCAAUAGUGAAAGACGGUUUUGCUGUCACUUAUAGAUGGAUCCGCGCCGCAUUAGCUAGUUGGUAAGGUAACGGCUUACCAAGGCAACGAUGCGUAGCCGACAUGAGAGGGUGAUCGGCCACACUGGAACUGAGACACGGUCCAGACUCCUAAGGGAGGCACCAGUAGGGAAUCUUCCGCAAUGGGCGAAAGCCUGACAGAGCAACCCCGCGUGAGUGAUGAAGGUCUUCGGUUCGUGAAACUCUGUUAUUAGGGAAGAACAAAUUUGUAAGUAACUAUGCACGUCUUGACGGUAACUAAUCAGAAAGCCACGGCUAACUACGUG